rnacentral:lncRNA from 1 species
CUCCUCAGCACUUGGAGAAGAGGUGGCAGCGGGGCAAACUGUCUCCAGACCACCACUGUAGGGAGAAGCAACCCGAUGCCAUGACACUGGCGGAGUGGAGAAAACAUUCCCACCACUGAGGAUUUUGCUAUUAGGGUUAUCAUGAUUAUGAUAUGACUGCCAGCCUCUCAAAGGGUUGGGAUUACAGGCAUGAGUGCCCAGCCAGUCUAUCACAUUAUUAAACCCAGAAAACCCUGCUCAAAUGCAUCUGCAUGCCAUAUGAAUGAGGGAGGUCAACAUUUUUUCUUGUAUAAGAGGAAUAAAACAUACUAUAACAAUUAGAUACAGAAUGUAAUGUAAGCAGAUUAUGGGAUCUUUUGAAAUGUCUUUAUUUUCAUUACAAACUGUACUUUGAAUGAUUAUGCGUUAAGUGGCUUGUGUUUUACAUUUACAGCACAGCUCAUCUUUCAGAAUUUUCCUGCUAUUUCUGUUUUCUAUUUUAUUGGCAAUGCGUUUCUUUAUAACUGAGUGAAGAAUGUGGCAACGCUGGGGAAAAUGUUUCUGCCUGUCUCUUUUUGCUCUCUCUCCCCCUCUGAACAGAAAUAGUAUCGUGGCAAUGCAUCUCUUUGUCUCUUAGGAAAAAAAAAAAGCCAGGAAAAGGAAAUAACAGUGGGUGAUCUACUUUCCGAACAGCGUGAGAAAGAUCCAGAGAAUGUUAGUUUUGCACUGAAGCUGCUUCAACUUCUACUUUUCCAAUAUUACAGGAAGUUUCCUAGCAUUGAGAGGAAAAAGAAACAGUGGCCAGAUACUUUCUCCUAAAAAUAUACAGGAAGGACAAUGUGGAGGCCAAGACUAAUCUGGGUGAUGAGCUCCAGGCCUGCCUCAAAACAGGAGCUGAUGGGGGGAAGGGAGAAACUUCAUCAGCACAGGAUCCAGGCCCUACAGCCACGNNNNNNNNNNCAGGCCCUACAGCCACGACCAGCUAAGGAUUCUCCCUUCAACCCACAAGACGUAUUCUGAUUUGCUCACUCAUGAGACUGGAGCUGUGUCUUGAAGUAGAUCGCGCACAGUAGUUCAUUCCCACGGCCAUAUUCCUGCUGGACGAUAGAGCUGGGCCUGCACUAAAGGUCUGUCAAUAUUGCCCCCAAUAUGCUGAGGCCUAUCCUUCCUAAGAUAUGGCUUUGUCCACGGUCCUCCCCAGAAGCGGCUCUUGUAAGGCUCCCAGGGGAGUGAAAUUCAGACUCUGACCCAGAGACUCUCUUCACCUCAUCGUCUUCUCCUGGGAGUCUUCAUCCAAUAGUGGCAAUGUCAUUCUUCCCUUCUAGAAAGAGUUGUGCUGGCUAGGUGUAGUGGCUCACACCUGUAAUCCCAGCACUUUAGGAGGCCAAGUGGGCGGAUCACUUGAGGUCAGGUGUUCGAGACCAGCUUGGGCAACAUAGUGAAACCCCAACUGUACUAAAAAUACAAAAAUUAGUUGGGCGUGGUGGCAGGCGCCUGUAAUCCCAGCUACUCAGGAGGCUGAGGUAGGAGAAUCACUUGAACCCGGGAGGCGGGGGUUGCAGUGACCUGAGAUCGUGCCACUGUACUCCAGCCUAGGCAACAGAGCAAGACUACAUCUCAAAAUAAAUAAAUAAAUAAAUAAAUAAAAAUAGAGUUGUGCUU